AUGCGCACUAAGAGAGGCAAAAUGGCAGUUAAACUGGUUUCCGACUUUCCUCUGGAACGCUCGACUGCUUAAGAGAAAAAUGCCUCAAAUGAGCAUGUGCACAACUCCAGCAAACACGCUGGACAUGCGGCCUCUCCCAAGUGCUGGCAGGCCACUGCACAUGUGGACCCACGGGAAGAAUCAGGAGAGAAGAAAUGCAAACCCCAGAGUCAUGCCAAGAGCUUGUGCUACAGAACUGCUACAGUAGGAGCAGUUGUGGUUGCUGAUAAUAGCGUGCCGUACACAGGAUUCUUAUCUGCUCAUCAGAUGCUAUUUUUACAUUAUGGUUGAAACUUUUUCCUCCUGCACUUAAAGUGGCAUUCACUCUAUAUUUCCAUUCUGGGAUGAUAGCUUAUAAUGAGCAAUCUCAAUUAAGCUGAACCUCAAGAUGUCCAACUUUUCAAUAAAGUAAUAAAUUAGACUUGAUGGCAAGUGACUUUGACAUGUACCAUCACACCAUAUCAAACCAAAGGCAUUUACAACACUUGUAAUCCACUUGGAAUUUGGAUGGAAAACUUACCAAUAGAUUUUUCAGGAAAUUCAAGAACUGUUGGAAUUAAAGAGGUUAGGUGAAGUUUCUUCUACUGAAACUUGUUCCAUUCUCCCUGUAACCUAAUGAGAAAAUAACAAGCACAGGCUUAAGUCUUCAGGGAGUAAUGUGGCUUGAAUAUGAGAAGAACAGAAACAGUAUAACCUGAUAGUUGAGACUGAAUUGAGAAAAUGUAGCCUUGAUUUCUAAAAGUCAAAUAAUUUUCACCUCAAAAACAUUAGCAAUACACAAUUUGUUAACUUGAUCACUCAGUUGUAAAUUUAAUAAACUAGAGGUGGCAGUGC
ensembl:lncRNA novel transcript